UGGCGGACGGGUGAGUAACGCGUGAGAAUCUGGCUUUAGGUUCGGGACAACAGUGGGAAACUGCUGCUAAUACCGAAUGUGCCUUAAUCGGUGAAAGAUUAAUUGCCUGAAGAUGAGCUCGCGUCUGAUUAGCUAGUUGGUGAGGUAAAGGCUCACCAAGGCGACGAUCAGUAACUGGUCUGAGAGGAUGACCAGUCACACUGGGACUGAGACACGGCCCAGACUCCUACGGGAGGCAGCAGUGGGGAAUUUUCCGCAAUGGGCGAAAGCCUGACGGAGCAAUACCGCGUGAGGGAGGAAGGCUCUUGGGUUGUAAACCUCUUUUCUCAGGGAAGAACAAAAUGACGGUACCUGAGGAAUAAGCAUCGGCUAACUCCGUGCCAGCAGCCGCGGUAAUACGGAGGAUGCAAGCGUUAUCCGGAAUUAUUGGGCGUAAAGCGUCCGCAGGUGGCAAUUCAAGUCUGCUGUCAAAGGUUCUGGCUCAACCAGAAACAGGCAGUGGAAACUGAAUAGCUAGAGUGCGGUAGGGGCAGAGGGAAUUCCCAGUGUAGCGGUGAAAUGCGUAGAGAUUGGGAAGAACACCGGUGGCGAAAGCGCUCUGCUAGGCCGUAACUGACACUCAUGGACGAAAGCUAGGGGAGCGAAUGGGAUUAGAUACCCCAGUAGUCCUAGCCGUAAACGAUGGAUACUAGGCGUUGCUCGCAUCGACCCGAGCAGUGCCGUAGCUAACGCGUUAAGUAUCCCGCCUGG
rnacentral:rRNA from 1 species